AACGCCGCGUGAGCGAAGAAGGUUUUCGGAUCGUAAAGCUCUGUGUGAGGAAGAACAAGUACGGAGUAACUGUCCGUACCUUGACGGUACCUCAUUAGAAAGCCACGGCUAACUACGUGCCAGCAGCCGCGGUAAUACGUAGGUGGCAAGCGUUGUCCGGAAUUAUUGGGCGUAAAGCGCGCGCAGGCGGUCCUUUAAGUCUGAUGUGAAAGCCCAUGGCUCAACCGUGGAAGGUCAUUGGAAACUGGAGGACUUGAGUACAGAAGAGGAAAGCGGAAUUCCACGUGUAGCGGUGAAAUGCGUAGAGAUGUGGAGGAACACCAGUGGCGAAGGCGGCUUUCUGGUCUGUAACUGACGCUGAGGCGCGAAAGCGUGGGGAGCAAACAGGAUUAGAUACCCUGGUAGUCCACGCCGUAAACGAUGAGUGCUAAGUGUUAGGGGGUUUCCGCCCCUUAGUGCUGCAGCUAACGCAUUAAGCACUCCGCCUGGGGAGUACGGCCGCAAGGCUG
rnacentral:rRNA from 1 species